CAGCGCCACGAGUGGCGAUCAUGUUUAUUUGGCCUAAAGCGUCCGUAGCUGGUUGAGUAAAUCUCUUGUGAAAUUGUUCAGCUUAACUGAGCAGCGUGCAGGAGAGACUGCUUAGCUAGGGACCGGGAGGAGUCAGAGGUAUGCCGGGGGGAGCGGUAAAAUGCUAUAAUCCUCGGUAGACCACCUGUGGCGAAGGCGUCUGACUAGAACGGGUCCGACAGUGAGGGACGAAAGCCAGGGGAGCAAACCGGAUUAGAUACCCGAGUAGUCC
rnacentral:rRNA from 1 species